rnacentral:rRNA from 1 species
UUGCAGUUAAAAAGCUCGUAGUCGGAUUUCAGUAUUAGGCCCUUCUUCCAAUACGGUUGCUAGUGGUCUUUACUUCCUUAACAGAAUCUUUCAUUUUAUUAAUUUAAAGUGUUUGGGGCCUGUUUCUUUUACUUUGAGAAAAUUAGAGUGUUCAAAGCGGGUUUUCGCCUGGAUAUUACUCUUGGAAUAAUAAUAUAGGACUUUGGUUCUUUUUUGUUGGUGACUUAGAACCGAAGUAAUGAUUGAUAGGGACAGUUGGGGUCAUUCGUACUAUGAAGCGAGAGGUGAAAUUCAUGGACCUUUGUAUGACGAACUACUGCGAAAGCAUUUGACUAGGAUGUUCCCGUUGAUCAAGAACGAAAGUUGGGGGAUCGAAGACGAUCAGAUACCGUCGUAGUCUCAACCAUAAACUAUGCCAGCUAGGGAUUGGAGGAAGAUCAUUUUACGUCUCCUUCAGCACCUUAUGAGAAAUCAAAGCAUUUGGGUUCCGGGGGGAGUAUGGUCGCAA